UACGUAGGGUCCGAGCGUUGUCCGGAGUUACUGGGCGUAAAGCGCGCGCAGGCGGCUCGGCAAGCAUGGCGUGAAAGCCCCCGGCUCAACCGGGGAGGGUCGUCGUGGACUGCCGGGCUUGAGGGCGGGAGGGGCUGGUGGAAUUCCCGGUGUAGUGGUGAAAUGCGUAGAGAUCGGGAGGAACACCCGUGGCGAAGGCGGCCAGCUGGACCGACCCUGACGCUGAGGCGCGAAGGCGUGGGGAGCGAACGGG
rnacentral:rRNA from 1 species